UUCUUGUCAUUCUGGUGGGACAUGAGCAGGUGCCUUCUAUUUCACCAUCUCGGUUACGUCAUUCCUUCCUCAGCAGUUUUUUCGGUCGAUUUUGCAAAGCUUUAAGUUUUACAGUGGGGCUGGAAAGGGCAGGAGAGUGUGAGUCCCAGCCCUGGGAUAUGUUGUUUCCUCACUUUUCACUGACAGGUAUUUUGUAUUUUUGGCAUUCUUUGUUUUCAAGUUAUAUUGAGGGUGUGGUUUUGUUUAGAAAUUUCUUAGUGGUAGUGUUAUUUUAUACCUCUUGGGGAGGAGAUUGUGGAAGUUACUCAUUCUUCCUCUUCUGCCUUCUAUUGUCUUCAACUACCCCCCAAAAAUCCCCUGGAACUUACUCUCUGAAAGAAGUUGGAGAAAAAUUAUUAAUGCACUUGAAGGAGAUAAAGAAAAAAGAAAGCAUAAGUGAUGUCUUGGAGGGAGAGCCCAGCAGAGCCUGGAAGAAGCUUCCCAAUGUGUGUGGAGCCCGGAUCCCAGCAGUGCCAGGGGUGCACUGUGGCUGACAGAGAGUUACUGCUUGGAUCCCCCUUCAAGGAGCACCUUGUUGCCCAGCUGCGUGGAGUGUGGUUGGCUAAUUGCUGCCAGCCACUGCUCGACCUCAGGGACAACCUCAGUGUUUGAGCUGAGAUCACACAGAACCAGGGACCUCCAGCCAAAGGCAAAGUGUGACCUCACAAGGCAACUUGCAUUCUUAACUCUGUCUCAGCCCCUGAGAACCCUGAACUUGCUGAAUAACCCAACCUUCAAAACACGGUUCACAGAAUUCUGAGAAGUCUGAAGAUUCAGGAUCAGGACCAUUGUAAGAUAUAAGAGUGUCUGGGUAGCAUGACAACAGCCAGAACCACAUCUCAACAAUUGUGUGAUGUGUACACAGCUGCUGCAGUCCUGGACACUCAUUCCUGCCACCCAUGACUCUGGAAUUGGGUAUUGUUGUGAACAAGAAAACUACUUUGUUCUGGGAAAGAAUGCCCCUUCAUCCUUGCUUCUUUGAGUCACUCAACAGAGAUCUAAGGUGACAUAUGGGAGCAUUACAUUUGCUGAGCAUGUUAGUGCAGCCCUAGGCCUCAGGAGGGAAGGAAAGUGCCCCCUGGUUUGUUCUGUUUUUGCAGUAGGAGCCUAGCUCUGUCACUCAGCAAGUCUCAAAGAUAGCCUUAAAUAGGGAGAUCCCACAACAUAACAAGGGAGUUCCACAUAGUGGACAGUCAAAAGCGUGGACGUAUCUCCCAUACCGUGGAUCUUUCUAGGGUUCCAAACUCCCCUUGAAACGUACACGUUGGCAGGUAUAAAGUGAACCCCACAAAUGUUCACCUCUGGAAAUAGAAGGGACGCUCCCUAAUCACCAUGGAAAUAUUCCUAAGAAUGUGCCUUUUCUUAUUGGGCAGAAGUCCAGCUAUCUUUUUUUAAAUCAGUUUCUUCAAUGGCAGUAAUUUAUUUCACAAGGUCACCUUUAAUGGGCCUGACCCAUUUUUCUGCCUAUAUUUUAAUCACAGGCUGCAUCUUCAGCUUCUCCAGCUAUCUAGAGGAUAAACUAGAUGAUACUUUAUCCUCCCAGCCUACUGUUUAGUGGUUUUAUGGGCACACUCAUUCCUCAACAAUACCGGUCCCGCAGUCUUUUUCUCUCCAGUCGCAACAGACCAUACCACUGCUGCCUCCAGGCAUGACAACACCAUGUCUGGCCACCAACAUUGACAAAUUGGACACCACUUCCACUCUGCUCCCUGGAAAUAGAUGCUGUAGCCAUUUAUGCCACUGCUGCCGAAGUAAACUCUCACCACCUCCAGGUCUGCUUUUUUCUAUCACCAAUUCUCAGUCCAUUGCAGUAUGUACCUCUGACUGUCUGAACCAGUGCAUGUGCACAUGUGGAGGCUGCCAAGAAGUCAGAGAAACAGGCAUAUGGACUUUGCAGCUUUUGCUGGGAAUGGUGCUUGUAUGCUUAGAGGCUAAGACAUGGAAGUUGUCCGCAUCACCAUUCUCAUCACAUCGUGAGCACUGGAGCACCUCCUAUGCCCCUCCUUUCCUUCACUCUGUGUUCUAGCCCCAGCUUAUGACCUACAGUUUUAAUCAACUGGAAAAAGGAAAUGGAGAUUGGCGAUAGUAGGGACUCCACCACCUCUUGGCUGGAUUAUCUAACCCACUUACUUCCUUGAAAAGGCAUUUACAAUUCUGGAUGCAAUCAUGAGGGGAGAUCAAGAAUGAUGAGAAAGAUGAGAAGUUCAGGGGCUGCAUGAUAUUACUGAAAUUACACAGAGACUCUAAAAUGGUGAAUCACUGCCCAGAAUUUGCACUGCAGUCAGAAAAGAUAUGGUCAUCCUGGGACAGCUCCACUGCUACCGUGUUCCUCCUAGAGGCAUAAUGUUCUCUAACAAAGCUGUUUUUGCUGAGACUGGAAAGGCUGAUAACAUAUUUGCAGACUCUGUGUGCUCCAUGGGGGUUGAAAGCGGGGAUCACUAAUGAUAAGUUUUGAACAACCUUCUUAGGCCUUCCUUGUCCAGUACCUCCUGGGAUGGGGACACUCUGUUCUAGCCAGCCAUGUGUAUCUGUCUCUUGGAGCCCAGAGUGAUAAGCAUCAUGCACAAGUACCAAGUGCUUCUCAGCUUGUAACAGAUUCCAACUUUUCUUGAAUUUGAAAUUGGAAAGUGCCUUUGAAAUAUCCAGACAAAACCCCCCGUUUUGUGGAUGGGAAAACUGGAAUCCAGGGAUCCAUCAAAGUUUACUCUAGAAAUCAGGGGCAGAACUGGGGCUGGGAACUAUCUAUUCUAAUCUGAUGUCAUUCCCUUUGGUAGAAUGUUGAAAAAGCAGGAGGAUUCAUUAGCCUUUCAAAAAAGACUAGUUGAGGGGUUAAUUUGCCAAAAAGCACAGUGACAAUAGGAAUUCCAGGGAAAUAGAAUGAUCCAAGCCAAAGUGUGGAAUCAAAGAAAAAUAUAGAUUUGAGGAGAUCCCAAAGAAGUCAGCAACUCAACUGUAAAGUGACACUCCACAAUAUGCUAAUUCUGCCACCAUCCAGGUCUUCUGCAUCACCUUGGUGUUCCCACUUGCAAUGUGCCCACUGCACGAGCUUUCUGCUAUUCUACUGCACAUUCACAGCUCACUUGGAAGAAACUUUAGUAAGAUUCUUGAAAUCUUUCUCACAGCAAGAAGAGUCCUAAGAGACCAAGCUACUCCUUUUAUAAUAAUUGAGACACAGACCGCUGGCAAAUGAAAUUUGCCCCAAAUUUGGAAGACCAUCUUACAGGAAAGACAACAAAAGAUUCAUGUGUUUGUUUUAACUUGGUGUGAUUUUAUUUAAUAAUGGAUGUGGUUUUAUUUAUUUUCAAAUAUGUAGUAGCUACUUGCAUUACUUUUUAAUAAACCAUAUGUUC